UCUGGUUGAUCCUGCCAGUAGCAUAUGCUUGUCUCAAAGAUUAAGCCAUGCAUGUCUAAGUAUAAAUAGUAUACAGUGAAACUGCGAAUGGCUCAUUAAAACAGUUAUAGUUUAUUUGAUAGUGGAAGCCUACAUGGAUAACCGUAGUAAUUCUAGAGCUAAUACAUGCGUCCAAACCUGACUGAAUUGAAAGGUUGUAUUUAUUAGAUACGAAGCCAAUACCCUCUCGGGGGUGUUGUGGUGAGUCAUAGUAACUGAUCGAAUCUCUCACCUGAGAGAUAAAUCAUUCAAGUUUCUGCUCUAUCAGCUUUCGAUGGUAGUGUAUUGGACUACCAUGGCAGUCACGGGUAACGGAGAAUUAGGGUUCGAUUCCGGAGAGGGAGCCUGAGAAACGGCUACCACAUCUAAGGAAGGCAGCAGGCGCGUAAAUUACCCAAUCCUGACUCAGGGAGGUAGUGACAAGAAAUAACAACCCGGGGGAUUCACAUCCUUACGGGAUUGCAAUGAGAACAAUUUAAAUCACUUAACGAGGAUCAAUUGGAGGGCAAGUCUGGUGCCAGCAGCCGCGGUAAUUCCAGCUCCAAUAGUGUAUAUUAAAGUUGUUGCAGUUAAAAAGCUCGUAGUUGAACUUCUGACAGUGUGCAGUUUUGGUUUCUAUCAGGCUGCAUUGCUGUCAUCCGUCUGCAAACUCUGUUCAAUCUUCGCUGGUUGGCAGGGGGAGUAGACAUUUUACUUUGAAAAAAUUAGAGUGUUUCAAGCAGGUUAUUGCCAGAAUACUUUAGCAUGGAAUAAUGGAAUAGGACUCUUGUCCAUUUGGUUGGUUAUUGGACCAGAGUAAUGAUUAACAGGGACAGUUGGGGGCAUUAGUAUUUAAUUGUCAGAGGUGAAAUUCAUGGAUUUAUUAAAGACUAACUUAUGCGAAAGCAUUUGCCAAGGAUGUUUUCGUUAAUCAAGAACGAAAGUUAGGGGAUCAAAGACGAUCAGAUACCGUCCUAGUCUUAACUAUAAACGAUGUCGACUCGGGAUUGGAAAGGUUUCCAAUUAUCCUUUCCAGCACCGUAUGAGAAAUCAUUAAGUCUUUGGAUUCUGGGGGGAGUAUGGUCGCAAGGCUGAAACUUAAAGGAAUUGACGGAAGAGCACCACCAGGCGUGGGACCUGCGGCUUAAUUUGACCCAACACGGGAAAACUUAUUUCAGCAAAACAUGAGUGGGAUUGACAGAUUGAGAGCUCUUUCUUGAUUUUAUGGGGUGCGGUGCAUGGCCGUUCUUAGUUGGUGGAGUGAUUUGUCUGGUUAAUUCCGUUAACGAACGAGACCUUAACCUGCUAACUAGUCG
rnacentral:rRNA from 1 species